CACGUAGGCGGAUCGUUAAGUCGGGGGUGAAAUCCUGGAGCUCAACUCCAGAACUGCCUUCGAUACUGGCGAUCUCGAGUCCGGGAGAGGUGAGUGGAACUGCGAGUGUAGAGGUGAAAUUCGUAGAUAUUCGCAAGAACACCAGUGGCGAAGGCGGCUCACUGGCCCGGUACUGACGCUGAGGUGCGAAAGCGUGGGGAGCAAACA
rnacentral:rRNA from 1 species